GGAGAGAGAAAUCGGGAAACCCAAUUCCAGCCCCCCCCCGUCCUUCUUCCUUCUUUCUUUUCUCUUCUUUCUUUUCUUCCUCUUUUCUCCAAACCGAAACCCAUUUUUCCGGUGAAACCACCGCCACCGGCCAUUAGAGGAUCUUCUCUUCCUCCUCUUGCAUCUAAGCUCGUUUUGAUCGGUGGAGGAAGAUUUGAAGGUGUUUGAGACUGUGAACAGUACCGUGAACAGUAACUCUCGAAUUCUUGGGUUCAUGUUUGAUUUUUCUGGAUAUUUCUGCUUGUUUUUGGUUGCUAUUGCAGGACGUAUUGAGCCCUCGAGCGAGGGUGACACGGGCAGGCAGCAGGUUUAGCUGCUGGACUCACUUGUGAGUGGACUUUUAUUUUGUUAAAAUAAUGCAUGCAGCAUGGAAAUAAGUUUUCAGUUGAUUUAUUAUUUGAGAAAAUGUGACUCUACGGAACGUAAAAGAUUUAAAAAGGAAGCAGUUGACAAGGAGGCCAGUUUUGGCGCAUGCGUAUCUUACCUAGUUGGCAGUCCCUUCUAGGUAAUAGUCUGGUCGGCAGUCCCGUCCAGACUACAGCUCGGUUGGCAGUCCCAUCCGAUGCGU